rnacentral:rRNA from 1 species
UACGUAGGGUCCAAGCGUUAUCCGGAUUUAUUGGGCGUAAAGAGCAUGUAGGUGGAAUGGUGCGUCGUCGCUUAAAUCUCUAGGCUCAACCUAGAACCUGGCGACGAUACGGUCAUUCUUGUGGUCAGCAGGGGCUAACGGAAUUCCCGGUGUAGGAGUGAAAUCCGUUGAUAUCGGGAGGAACACCAAUGGCGAAGGCAGUUAGCUAGGCUGAUUCAGACACUGAGAUGCGAAAGCGUGGGGAGCGAACGGG